rnacentral:rRNA from 1 species
CCUACGGGCGGCAGCAGUGAGGAAUAUUGGUCAAUGGACGAGAGUCUGAACCAGCCAAGUAGCGUGAAGGAUGACUGCCCUAUGGGUUGUAAACUUCUUUUAUAUGGGAAUAAAAUGUUCCACGUGUGGGAUUUUGUAUGUACCAUAUGAAUAAGGAUCGGCUAACUCCGUGCCAGCAGCCGCGGUAAUACGGAGUAUCCGAGCGUUAUCCGGAUUUAUUGGGUUUAAAGGGAGCGUAGGUGGAUUGUUAAGUCAGUUGUGAAAGUUUGCGGCUCAACCGUAAAAUUGCAGUUGAAACUGGCAGUCUUGAGUACAGUAGAGGUGGGCGGAAUUCGUGGUGUAGCGGUGAAAUGCUUAGAUAUCACGAAGAACUCCGAUUGCGAAGGCAGUUCACUGGACUGCAACUGACACUGAGGCUCGAAAGUGUGGGUAUCAAACAGGAUUAGAUACCCUUGUAGUC